GACGAACGCUGGCGGCGUGCUUAACACAUGCAAGUCGAGCGGUAAGGCCCUUUCGGGGGUACGACGAGCGGCGAACGGGUGAGUAACACGUGGGUGACCUGCCCUCAGCUCUGGGAUAAGCCUGGGAAACCGGGUCUAAUACUGGAUAUGACUCCAUGACGCAUGUUGUGGGGUGGAAAGCCUUGUGCGGCUGAGGAUGGGCCCGCGGCCUAUCAGCUUGUUGGUGGGGUGAUGGCCUACCAAGGCGACGACGGGUAGCCGGCCUGAGAGGGCGACCGGCCACACUGGGACUAAGACACGGCCCAGACUCCUACGGGAGGCAGCAGUGGGGAAUCUUGCGCAAUGGGCGAAAGCCUGACGCAGCGACGCCGCGUGAGGGAUGACGGCCUCGGUUGUAACU
rnacentral:rRNA from 1 species